rnacentral:rRNA from 1 species
UACGUAGGGUGCAAGCGUUAAUCGGAAUUACUGGGCGUAAAGCGUGCGCAGGCGGUCUGUCAAGUCGGAUGUGAAAUCCCCGGGCUCAACCUGGGAACUGCAUUUGAAACUGGAAGACUAGAGUAUUGUAGAGGGGGAUGGAAUUCCACGUGUAGCGGUGAAAUGCGUAGAUAUGUGGAGGAACACCGAUGGCGAAGGCAGCCCCCUGGAC